GGUGUGGUUGGGGGACACACAGAGGUGUGGUUGGGGGACACACAGAGGUGUGGUUGGGGGACACACAGAGGUGUGGUUGGGGGACACACAGAGGUGUGGUUGGGGGACACACAGAGGUGUGGUUGGGGGACACACAGAGGUGUGGUUGGGUGAUGCUGAGCAGCCCCCUCUCCUGUGG